rnacentral:rRNA from 1 species
GAUGAACGCUGGCGGCGUGCCUAAUACAUGCAAGUCGAGCGAACGGACGAGAAGCUUGCUUCUCUGAUGUUAGCGGCGGACGGGUGAGUAACACGUGGAUAACCUACCUAUAAGACUGGGAUAACUUCGGGAAACCGGAGCUAAUACCGGAUGAUAUUUUGAACCGCAUGGUUCAAAAGUGAAAGACGGUCUUGCUGUCACUUAUAGAUGGAUCCGCGCUGCAUUAGCUAGUUGGUAAGGUAACGGCUUACCAAGGCAACGAUGCAUAGCCGACCUGAGAGGGUGAUCGGCCACACUGGAACUGAGACACGGUCCAGACUCCUACGGGAGGCAGCAGUAGGGAAUCUUCCGCAAUGGGCGAAAGCCUGACGGAGCAACGCCGCGUGAGUGAUGAAGGUCUUCGGAUCGUAAAGCUCUGUUAUUAGGGAAGAACAUAUGUGUAAGUAACUGUGCACAUCUUGACGGUACCUAAUCAGAAAGCCACGGCUAACUACGU